GUCAGGUCAGAGGUGAAGGAAGGGGAUAGUGAAAGCAGCAGGCGGAGUCUUCACAGGCACAGCAGAGCAGCUAUGAAGGGGAAGGCCAGCAACCAGGAUUAAUUAAAGGGGCCACAAGUGGAUGAGGCGGCCGGGGAGAGGCCAGGUACUGCAAGCAGAGGACAGAAGAGAGGACAUGGACGGGUGGAAAUGGACGUAAGGCACAGAGGCAAGC